AGAGUUUGAUCCUGGCUCAGGAUGAACGCUAGCGGCAGGCUUAACACAUGCAAGUCGAGGGGUAAAAGGAGCUUGCUCCUUUGAGACCGGCGCACGGGUGCGUAACGCGUAUGCAACCUACCUUGNAACAGGGGAAUAGCCCAGAGAAAUUUGGAUUAAUGCCCCAUGGUAUUUUGGGAUGGCAUCAUCUUAUUAUUAAAGAUUUAUCGGUUCAGGAUGGGCAUGCGUCCCAUUAGUUAGUUGGUGAGGUAACGGCUCACCAAGACGAUGAUGGGUAGGGGUCCUGAGAGGGAGAUCCCCCACACUGGUACUGAGACACGGACCAGACUCCUACGGGAGGCAGCAGUGAGGAAUAUUGGUCAAUGGGCGCAAGCCUGAACCAGCCAUGCCGCGUGCAGGAUGACGGCCCUAUGGGUUGUAAACUGCUUUUGUACGGGAAGAAACAACGCUUCGUGAAGCGUCUUGACGGUACCGUAAGAAUAAGGAUCGGCUAACUCCGUGCCAGCAGCCGCGGUAAUACGGAGGAUCCAAGCGUUAUCCGGAAUCAUUGGGUUUAAAGGGUCCGUAGGCGGGCCUGUAAGUCAGUGGUGAAAUCUUUCGGCUCAACCGGAAAAUUGCCAUUGAUACUGCAGGCCUUGAAUUAUUGGGAAGUAACUAGAAUAUGUAGUGUAGCGGUGAAAUGCUUAGAUAUUACAUGGAA
rnacentral:rRNA from 1 species